rnacentral:rRNA from 1 species
GAUCAUGGCUCAGGACGAACGCUGGCGGCGUGCUUAACACAUGCAAGUCGAACGAGAAUCUGUGGAUCGAGGAUUCGUCCAAGUGAAGCAGAGGACAGUGGCGGACGGGUGAGUAACGCGUGAGGAACCUGCCUUUCAGAGGGGGACGAACAGUUGGAACGACUGCUAAUACCGCAUGAUACGUUUUGGGGGUCGAUCCCCGAGACGUCAAAGAUUUAUCGCUGAAAGAUGGCCUCGCGUCCG